rnacentral:lncRNA from 1 species
AGGAUUCCAGAACUGAGCAAGGGCUCGGAAUAAAUACUUGUCCACUUUGACACUAAGCAGAUAAGGUAGGUCACCGUAGUUACAAUAGAACAGCUGCUUGGCCUCGACAUCCCAUUGAUCCCAGACUUCUUUCAUUUCUUGAAGGUCAUUCUGGAUUACACUGAUACGGGUGAAAUCCCACAAUUCUGACACGCACCCUUCGGUAAGACUAUCGCCUUUCUCU